rnacentral:rRNA from 1 species
UACGUAGGGUGCAAGCGUUAAUCGGAAUUACUGGGCGUGAAGCGUGCGCAGGCGGUUGUGCAAGACAGAUGUGAAAUCCCCGGGCUCAACCUGGGAACUGCAUUUGUGACUGCACGGCUGGAGUGCGGCAGAGGGGGAUGGAAUUCCGCGUGUAGCAGUGAAAUGCGUAGAUAUGCGGAGGAACACCGAUGGCGAAGGCAAUCCCCUGGGCCUGCACUGACGCUCAUGCACGAAAGCGUGGGGAGCAAACAGG